rnacentral:lncRNA from 1 species
AGAAUUGGCCUCUUCCAGCCACAGCAGUAAUCCUGUUACGUUCUCUCUGUGAGUCUGGGAAACAUACAGACACUGGUUGAAACUUCAGCUUUGUCAUUUACCAGCUGUGCUAUCACAGGCUGGUCUGAAACUCCUGGGCUCAAGCAGUUCUCCCACAUUGGCUUCCCAAAGUGCUGGGAUUACAGGUCUGAACCACCGAACCGGGCCACAGAGUGGCAAUGUGGUUGGCAUGACCCAGUCACAGCACCCCGGGACUCUUGUCCAGCAUUGGCGCUCUAUAUGCAGAGCCCUUUCACUCAGCCUGGCAGCAUCUGAUCAGCGUCGAAGCCCAGUGGCUUGAGGAAUAAAUAUAAACAGUGCAGAGACUAAAAGCAGAGCUCUGGUCCAGCACAUCUACUCCCAAGCUCUGCCACCCUGGACAAGCUCCUUCCCCUCUCUGAGCCUCAGUCUCCUCCCUGUAAUACUGCUCUUCCACAUACUAGCUGUGUGAACUUGGACAAGUGACUUAACUUCUCUUCUCCGUGUCUGCUAACAGUCCCUACACAGAUGGUUGUUGUGAGGCUUAGUUACCAUACAAAAUUCUUAGAUUAGUGCCUGGCACAUAAUAAUAACCACAGCCCCCAAAUGCUAGUUGUCAUUCAUUAUCUUAACAUACCAUGUGAAGGUUGUGUUCUCUUACAUUCUAUAGCCCUCUGUGUUUUAAUAUAAAAUUGUGAUGUCUCUCUUUCUUUUAUUUGUAUUUUUUGAGUAAAACGGACAUUUCAGAAAGAUGUACCAGAUUUUUAUCACAUGGCUUUGUGAGACCCGACAGCCAGCCAACAUCACACACAGUCACAUGUGUGCAUGCAUGAGCACACAUGCAUGCAGACACACACACUUUGAGAAGGCCAUGCUACGCCGGGCUGCUUCCCAAAUGGGCUGAAACAAGUCCUCUUGCCCUGAAGAACCGCCUGUCCCCUCUCCCGCCCACUCAUCGCGCUCCGUGGAGUGAGGCAGGAAAGGGUGAUUGGCUCACAGCAGCAGCAUAGCUCUUAGUAAACCUGACUUGGGAGAAAGGCCUGGCUCCAGCUCCUAGCCCAAGUGUCAGAGCCUGGGUCCCAGCACUGGCUCGAUGCCCUCUUUUGCUGUGCAACCCUGGCCAUGUAACUUCACCUCUCUGAGCCCCAGCUUUGUCAUUUGUGAAAGGGAGCUAACUGUUCCUACCUCUCAGGGUUAUGAGGAUUUGACAGACACAUGGAAAGUGCCUGGCACUUCGUUGUUGCUCCAUAAAUGAGAGCUCUCAAAAGUCUGGCUCAUUUUUUAGCUCAGUAAAAGCUAUCUUUCAUAGUCUUUAAUAAAAUGGGGCUGGCCGGGCGUGGUGGCUCACGCCUGUAAUCCCAGCACUUUGGGAGG